rnacentral:rRNA from 1 species
GAUGAACGCUGGCGGCGUGCCUAAUACAUGCAAGUCGAGCGAACGGACGAGAAGCUUGCUUCUCUGAUGUUAGCGGCGGACGGGUGAGUAACACGUGGAUAACCUACCUAUAAGACUGGGAUAACUUCGGGAAACCGGAGCUAAUACCGGAUAAUAUUUUGAACCGCAUGGUUCAAAAGUGAAAGACGGUCUUGCUGUCACUUAUAGAUGGAUCCGCGUUGGAUUAGUGAGUUGGUAAGGUAACGGCUUACCAAGGCGACGAUGCUUAGCCGACCUGAGAGGGUGAUCAGCCACACUGGAACUGAGACACGGUCCAGACUCCUACGGGAGGCAGCAGUGGGGAAUCUUCGACAAUGGGCGAAAGCCUGACGGAGCAACACCGCGUGGGUGAAGAAGGUCUUCGGGUCGUAAAGCUCUGUUGUUGGGAAAGAACAUAUGUAUGAGUAACUGUGCACGUCUUGACGGUACCUAAACAGAAAGCCACGGCUAACUACGUG